rnacentral:rRNA from 1 species
GAUGAACGCUAGCGGCAGGCUUAAUACAUGCAAGUCGUGGGGCAGCAUGAGUGUAGCAAUACAUUUGAUGGCGACCGGCCAACGGGUGCGGAACACGUACACAACCUUCCUAUAAGUGGGGAAUAGCCCAGAGAAAUUUGGAUUAAUACCCCGUAACAUAAUGAUGUGGCAUCACAUUAUUAUUAUAGCUUCGGCGCUUAUUGAUGGGUGUGCGGCUGAUUAGAUAGUUGGCGGGGUAACGGCCCACCAAGCCUACGAUCAGUAGCUGAUGUGAGAGCAUGAUCAGCCACACGGGCACUGAGACACGGGCCCGACUCCUACGGGAGGCAGCAGUAAGGAAUAUUGGUCAAUGGACGCAAGUCUGAACCAGCCAUGCCGCGUGAAGGAUUAAGGUCCUCUGGAUUGUAAACUUCUUUUAUCUGGGACGAAAAAAGGCGAUUCUUCGUCACUUGACGGUACCAGAUGAAUAAGCACCGGCUAACUCCGUGCCAGCCGCCGCAGUAAAAC